CCUUCUGUGGUGUAGUUGGUAGCUCCUUGGAUUAGUAAUUAUAUGUCAUAGGUUCAAGCCCCGAUCAGGAGUA